rnacentral:tRNA from 2 species
CAUCGCUGUUUGGCUGUUGGCCGGCAAGUCCUGGCGGCUGACGGCCGCCUGGUGCGCGCUGUUCGGCGUCGGCAUGGCGCUGG